GGACAUACGUAUAAAAGGUUACAUAUUAUUAUACAAACAAAGAAAUUUACAGGGUAUACGUCCAAUGGGGCUAGCGCAAACGGGACAACAAGACCCAUGCAGGGCGCCACCCCUAUACAUACCCGUAUAAUAACGUGUUGACAUUAGUUUUACUAUGAAACAUUAUAAAAUGUCGUUUGCUAUGUGACUUGAAAGAUAUAAGCUGCCACUCGUUUUCAAAUUAGUUUUACCAGAUAAUGAGCUUUGAUAGAUAACUGCUGGCCAGUAUCUAUCUAGACAAUAUUUCUUCCCCACGGAAUAACUACCGGCUGUCCCAAAAAAACUGGACACUGUUUGAUUUCAUGUAACGUAAAAGCUGCAAAAGCUAUCGCAAUUAAA